GACGAACGCUGGCGGCGUGCUUAACACAUGCAAGUCGUACGGUAAGGCCCUUUCGGGGGUACACGAGUGGCGAACGGGUGAGUAACACGUGAGUAGCCUGCCCACAACUUUGGGAUAACGCUAGGAAACUGGUGCUAAUACUGGAUAUGUGCCCCUGCUGCAUGGUGGGGGUUGGAAAGCUCCGGCGGUUGUGGAUGGACUCGCGGCCUAUCAGCUUGUUGGUGGGGUAGUGGCCUACCAAGGCGGCGACGGGUAGCCGGCCUGAGAGGGUGACCGGCCACAUUGGGACUGAGAUACGGCCCAGACUCCUACGGGAGGCAGCAGUGGGGAAUAUUGCACAAUGGGCGCAAGCCUGAUGCAGCAACGCCGCGUGCGGGAUGACGGCCUUCGGGUUGUAAACCGCUUUCAGCAGGGACGAAGCUUUUUGUGACGGUACCUGCAGAAGAAGCACCGGCUAACUACGUG
rnacentral:rRNA from 1 species